GAUGAACGCUGGCGGCGUGCCUAACACAUGCAAGUCGAGCGAACCCUUCGGGGUGAGCGGCGGACGGGUGAGUAACGCGUGGGUAACCUGCCCUAUACACACGGAUAACGUACCGAAAGGUACGCUAAUACGGGAUAAUAUUGUUGGAUGGCAUCUUCUAACAAUCAAAGCUCCGGCGGUAUAGGAUGGACCCGCGUCUGAUUAGCUAGUUGGUGAGGUAAUGGAUCACCAAGGCGAAGAUCAGUAGCCGACAUGAGAGGGUGAUCGGCCACACUGGAACUGAGACACGGUCCAGACUCCUACGGGAGGCAGCAGUGGGGAAUAUUGCACAAUGGGCGAAAGCCUGAUGCAGCAACGCCGCGUGAGCGAUGAAGGUCUUCGGAUCGUAAAGCUCUGUCCUCAAGGAAGAUAAUGACGGUACUUGAGGAGGAAGCCCCGGCUAACUACGUGCCAGCCGCCGCAGUAA
rnacentral:rRNA from 1 species